GAACCAUGAUGAGGGCAUUGUCUUUGUAGACUCUUGAAUAUGUCCCAUGCUUCAAAUAAUGAUUCUCCAUACGCCUGAGCAAAAUUUAUGAUGCAAUUUCUCAUAUA